rnacentral:rRNA from 16 species
GAUCCUGGCUCAGGAUGAACGCUGGCGGUAUGCCUUAUACAUGCAAGUCGUACGAGAGUUUUUAACUCAAGUGGCGGACGGGUGAGUAACACGUAAGAAUUUGCCUUUAGGAGGGGGAUAACAGUUGUAAACGAUUGCUAAUACCCCAUAUGCUUUUAAGUGAAAUGGAAUUUCCGCCUAAAGAGAAGCUUGCGGCUGAUUAGCUUGUUGGUGAGGUAAUAGCUCACCAAGGCGACGAUCAGUAUCUGGUUUGAGAGGAUGAUCAGACACACUGGAACUGAGACACGGUCCAGACUCCUACGGGAGGCAGCAGUAGGGAAUUUUCCGCAAUGGGCGAAAGCCUGACGGAGCAAUACCGCGUGAGGGAUGACUGCCCAUGGGUUGUAAACCUCUUUUUUCAGGGAGGAAGAAUGACGUGUACCUGAAGAAUAAGCAUCGGCUAACUCCGUGCCAGCAGCCGCGGUAAUACGGAGGAUGCAGGCGUUAUCCGGAAUCAUUGGGCUUAAAGGGAGCGUAGACGGACCCUUAAGUCAGCCGUCAAAAGCCGGGGCUCAACCCCGGUCCGCGGUUGAAACUGGGAGUCUUGAGUGCGGUCGCGGCGCGCGGAAUUCGUGGUGUAGCGGUGAAAUGC